UUGAUGCUGCCUGCUAGCCCUGGACACGAAUACUAAAGGGAGAGUGAGAUGACCAUCCACCCAGACUGGAAGGAGCCCUGUUCAGAUGUUAAGGUCUUCUCUAUAUGGCCUAUGCCAUUGGCUUGUUCUGAUAGCCUCCGUCUUUGUGCUUCCUCCAGAAGCUGUUCUAUUGGUAAGAAAAUGUGAUGCUGCCUGCUAGCCCUGGACACGAAUACCCAAGAAAGAGUGAGAUGACCAUCCGCCCAGACUGGAAGGAGCUACGUUGAGAUGGUAAGGUCUUCUCUAUAUGGCCCAUGCCACAGGCUUGUUCGAAUAGCCUCUGUCUUCGUGCUUCCUCAAGAAGCUUUUCCAUUGGGUAAGAGAACCAACAUUUGUAAUUAAUUAAUUCAUUAAUUUAUCCAAAUCCACUUUGUACUUUACUGUAUAGCUUUGAGUAGUUUAAUUACAAAUUUAAUUUAAAGGAGUACUUCACUCCCCAGCCUUUGGAACAUUUAGUUCUGAACGCUGGUGCACGCUUCGUGGUUCUCACACCCCCUUGUGAUUUCAUGCUCCACCCUUGUGACCUCACGUGCAGCCCCUCAAUGUAAGUCUAUGGGUGGGGGUAUGGUGACCCCCAAAGCCCGCACUAACUAGCGUUCGGAACUAAAUAUUCCGAACGCUUGGAAUCGGAGUACCCCUUUAACUACAAUAGGUGGUGCUGGGCAUGUAACCUCUGCUCUUAAGGGAGGGUGAGCCAGCAAUUUUUAUUUUUAUUUUUUUAUUUGUUACAAUAUAAAAGUUGCUUCAUUUUCAAACUGCUUUUGUGUUUUUCUCACAAGUAUCUAGGUAGGCUUUUUUUCCUGUUGGUGAGAAAAUGUGAUGCUACCUGCUAGCCCUGGACACGAAUACCCAAGAAAGAGUGAGAUGACAUCUGCCCAGACUGGAAGGAGCUCCGAUGAGAUGGCAAGGUCUUCUCUAUAUGGCCUUUGCCAUAGGCUUGUUCUAAUAGCCUCUGUCUUCGUGCUUCCUCCAGAAGCUUUUCUAUUGGGUGGUGCUGGGCAUGUAGCCUCUGCUCUUUAGGGAGGUAUCUAGGUAGGCUUUUUUUUUUUUUUUAUUCUUUUCCUGUUAGUAAGAAAAUGUGAUGCUGCCUGCUAGCCCUGGACACGAAUACCCAAGAAAGAGUGAGAUGACAUCUGCCCAGACUGGAAGGAGCUCCCAUGAGAUGGUAAGGUCUUCUCUAUAUGGCCUUUGCCAUAGGCUUGCUCUAAUAGCCUCUGUCUUCGUGCUUCCUCCAGAAGCUUUUCUAUUGGGUAAGACAACCAACAUUUGUAAUUUAUCCAAAUCCACUUUGUACUGUACUGUAUAGCCUUGAGGAGUUUAAUAACAAAUUUCCUUUAAUGAUCACAGGUGGUGCUGGGCAUGUAACCUCUGCUCUUUAGGGAGGUAAGAAAAUUUGAUGCUGCCUGUAGCCCUGAACACUAUAAUACCCAAGAAAGAGCAAGAUGAUCAUAUGCCCGGACUGGAAGGAGCUGCAAUGAGAUGCUCUACUAGUUUGCUUUCUUAAGAAGGUGUACCUGAUCUUCCCUGGCUGGAAUUGUGAUCCCUGCUCUUGGACCGAAGUGUAAGUAAUUAAAAUCAUGUCUAUUCUUGUCACAAUGUGUUACAUUUAGGGGACAAUUUGUUUAAUGCUAUAAUUUAAAUGAAUUUGUCUCUUGCCUUUGCA